CUUAUCAAUAUUUAAACCCAGGAGCCGAUGCCAGUGUAUAUUUAUAUAUGACAUCAUUUAUAUAUUAAAUAGUAUGAGUUUGUGUCUCGUUUGAAGUGGACCUGUGUGUUUAAUUAAAAUGAAAGUACAUCUUUUAGUAGCUCUCCUGAUUGGGGCCUGUUACGCAGAUAAUGACGUGUGCGACAUGUCAGACGGUUCAAUAGGGAAAUGUGUAAAAUCAGGACAAUGUAAGGUACCCGAUCUUGGUAACUUGAAUGUGUUCAGGACAAUACAAAUGGUGUGCCAAUCGGGAGAAGUAUGCUGUGAUUUUAAAGAUAUAAUUCAACCUUCUAAUUCACCCAUUACUAUUAAUAAUUAUGUAAAAACAUCAAACACUAAUUUGAAUAUAAAUAAUAAUUAUUUCAACUUCACUGACGGUUUCCAACGCUAUUUUAGACAGUCUUUUGGUCAGUAUUUUAAUUAGUCAGUAAAGUUAUUACGUUUCAAGUAAAAUGAAAUAGAUACCAACCAAAUGUAGCGACAUAUACAAAUUGCGGUUAUAAUGUUAUUCCGAUUAAAGAUAGAUACAUAUCUAGUCCAGCCAUUAGAUUCUGUUACUAAUAAAGUAUAUUAUUAAAAUG